rnacentral:rRNA from 1 species
CCUACGGGAGGCAGCAGUGAGGAAUAUUGGUCAAUGGACGCAAGUCUGAACCAGCCAUGCCGCGUGCAGGAAGACGGCCCUAUGAGUUGUAAACUGCUUUUGUACGAGGGUAAACUCAGAUACGCGUAUCUGUCUGCAAGUACCGUACGAAUAAGGAUCGGCUAACUCCGUGCCAGCAGCCGCGGUAAUACGGAGGAUUCAAGCGUUAUCCGGAUUUAUUGGGUUUAAAGGGUGCGUAGGCGGUCGGAUAAGUUAGAGGUGAAAUCCCGAGGCUCAACUUCGGAGUUGCAGCUGAUACUGUUGGGCUAGAGAGUAGUUGCGGUAGGCGGAAUGUAUGGUGUAGCGGUGAAAUGCUUAGAGAUCAUGCAGAACACCGAUUGCGAAGGCAGCUUACCAAGCUACGUCUGACGUUGAGGCACGAAAGCGUGGGGAGCAAACAGGAUUAGAUACCCCUGUAGUC